AACGAACGCUGGCGGCGUGGAUAAGACAUGCAAGUCGAGCGGGAACUUUCGCUGUAGCAAUACAGUGAAAGUUCUAGCGGCGAACGGGUGCGUAACACGUGGACAAUCUGCCUUAAAGUGGGGGAUAGCUCGGCGAAAGCCGAAUUAAUACCGCAUGUGAUGAGAGACGACAUCGUCUUGAAAUCAAAGCCGGGGCAACCUGGCGCUUUUUGAGGAGUCCGCGGCCAUCAGCUAGUUGUGAGGUAACGGCCCACCAAGGCUAUGACGGGUAGCUGGUCUGAGAGGACGACCAGUCACACUGGAAC
rnacentral:rRNA from 1 species